AAACGUCUUUUCCUAUCAUCAUGGCGUGUAAACACAUUACCGCUCUUCCUGACUUGCCAGUCUGGAAACCCAGCUAGAAAAAACAAUGACUAGCCCACCUUUCUCCCAGAAUGUGUACAAAUAGUAAAAAAAAAAAAAAAAAAAUUAAAUCUUUGUACUAUUCACCUGUUUCAGGGUAAAAAUUGUUAGUUAUUGCAGAGGCACUAGUUUUUCUUAAUUACAGAGUGGGCCCACUUUUGUUAGCAACAUCUUGGGGGGGUUCAUCUUUGGAAAUUGCUUUUGAAGCCUGUGGGACAGGUUUGGGAAUUAUUCUGUUGGUGGAAAUCUUUGCCUUCUUAACAGGUUUUCUUAAGUUUGGUGAAUAAACUGACUGAUCGUGUGUGUGUGUGCACGUGCAUUUUGAGUGUGGGGAAUGUACUAAGUUUGGGUUUGGGGGAUUGUUUUUUAACAUGGCUCAUGCCAGAAAUGUUUUGUGCAGCAUCAUUGGACUGAAUGUACGGCCUUCCAGGGUGUGACAGCUGCGAAGGAUAACCAGCAUCAAAUAUGUUAUUUCUAGCAUGUGGUAAAAACUCAUCCUCAUAGCCAUAUAGCCCGUCGGACGAGCUAAAAUUGUCCUGACUGGAUCGCCAAGGGGACAGGGGACCCACAGCCCCCUGCACAGCACAGGCCUAAGAGACUUGGCGUCUGUGCAGCGUGACCUAUGAAGGGACUUCGGGCAGGUAGUUUGCGUCUCUCCGCCUGGGCUCUCUCGUGUAAAGUAGGGCUCGCGGUAGACUGCAUAGAGUGUAACCAAGAAUGAAGUGGUUUUAGGUUCAGAGUGCUUAGAACAUUCCUUGCACAUAGUAAGCGUUAGCGUUUGCUAGAUACAUACAAAUUUGGGGCAGUGGCGGUUACUGAAAAGAUAGUAGCUGUCAGUACAGCUGACUUCAUUCUGUCAGGGACCCUCUGGGCAGUUGACAGAAGCCCAUAUUGGCUAAGGGAUGGUGGGGAAGGAGAAAUACAGCAGGCUCUUUGCUCUCCUUGGCAUUCAGGCGUGUACUAGGAACCCUGUUACCCUGCGGUGGGAGGAAAAGGGACCCUAAAUUUGGUGGAGAGACGUACUCAGAGAGCCUGCUGUAAAGAGGAGCCAGCGUGGCAUGGCAAAAACCUUUGGACUAGUCCUGGGUUCUAGUUCUUGGUCUGUGCUCUGCAACUGCUCAGCAUACCCAUGCAUGUGUUAGGUUAUUAACAGGAAGAAAGUUGGGGUCGGGAACGUUUGUGGAUGCUGUCACCUGCCACACAUUCUUAUUUGCAUCCCUGCCUUCCCUCAUUUUCUGAGGUAGUUGGGGUGUACAAGGACCCUGUACUACUGCGACGUGCCUAGUGGGGGAGGUGGAGGAGGGUGUCUAGGUGAGUCUGUCCUAUGUUUGAGAAAAACAGACAUUUUGGGGGAUUAGUUUUUUUCCAUAAUGGGUUGUAUGAGAGUCGAUAGUAAGGGACCUUCCAAAAGCUGUCACUCUCAGAGAACGUUUGUCCUGUUAAAUAUCUGUAGUGUACUAGCUGUGGAGUCCACUCUUAAUUACUGAAUUCUGUUUUAAGUUCUCUGCAUGUUUUGGGAGAUAUUACUGACCAGAUUUCAAGGCUGUUAUUAAACCAAUCCUGCAGAAGCUUUCAUUGUUUUGUUGGGUGUCAGCAUUUCCGCCCCGUCCCCACCUCAGCUCGACCCAUCACAGAUUAGAUGUGGAGGAACACUGGCCGCUUCUCCCUUAACACUCCAGCCAUCUGAGCAGGGAUGGGGAAUAGGGCUGUUGGGGAGGUGUUAGAGAUGUUGUAAUUAGCAUCUGCAGGUCGCUAAGGCAUGCUGGCUUUCCUUUUCCCCAAAUCCGAAAGCCAGCUCCUAGCUCCCUGCCAGUUGCCAGUAUUCUCAGUACUCUUGCCUCUUACUGCCUGUCUUGAUCAUGAAAUGAGCCCUUUGAUGCUCUUUCAGCUCCUGUGUUCAUCAUAAUACAUCCUUUUACCCUAACUUUUUAUCGUAUUCCCUUUAAAGACAAAGUCCCUCACCCAUACAAGGCUUAUUGAGUAGUGAGCCCUUGUAACAGCACUAUGUCUGUGAACAAAUCUGGAAAUAAAGUCCUGUGAACAGGGUUGAGGUGGGUGAGCGGAGGCUGGGGGAGUCGCCGUCUCCACCCUGGGUGGGUGGUGGUGGCAGUGCACUACCAGGGGCUGAGGAAGCUCUUCCCCUGGGGUUCUUGUUCUCCAAGGAGUGGGAUGCGGCUGGAGAUGAAGAGUGGGGGGAGUUUGAAAUCUGCAUGUGAUCAAGAGCCUCCUUGCGUGUGUCCGAGGGAUGUAGAAGCCGCUUCUUGCAGGCCGGCUGGGAUGAGGAAGCCACAUUCCACCUUCCCCUAAG